GAUGAACGCUGGCGGCGUGCCUAAUACAUGCAAGUCGAGCGAACAGAUAAGGAGCUUGCUCCUUUGACGUUAGCGGCGGACGGGUGAGUAACACGUGGGUAACCUACCUAUAAGACUGGGAUAACUUCGGGAAACCGGAGCUAAUACCGGAUAAUAUUUCGAACCGCAUGGUUCGAUAGAGAAAGAUGGUUUUGCUAGCACUCAUAGAUGGACCCGCGCCGGAUUAGCUAGUUGGUAAGGUAACGGCUUACCAAGGCGACGAUACGUAGCCGACAUGAGAGGGUGAUUGGCCACACUGGAACUGAGACACGGUACAGACUCCUACGGGAGGCAGCAGUAGGGAAUCGUCCGCAAUGGGCGAAAGCCUGACGGAGCAACGCCGCGUGAGUGAUGAAGGUCUUCGGAUCGUAAAACUCUGUUAUUAGGGAAGAACAUACGUGUAAGUAACUGUGCACGUCUUGACGGUACCUAAUCAGAAAGCCACGGCUAACUACGUG
rnacentral:rRNA from 1 species